CCAGCACCACCGGCUCCGGAAUCACCACCACCAGCCUCCAUCCCCUGCCAGCAUUGGCAGCACCGCCACCAGCACCGCCGGCCUCAGGACCAAGCCCACCACCAGCGUUGACGGAGGCGGGUGUGCGGCUCUAGCGCAGCUGAGCCGUCGACCGCCGGAGCCAAUCCGGCAGUCCG